rnacentral:lncRNA from 1 species
AACUUUCUGCAUGUUGCAAUACUUCUGGUUGCAACACUUGUCCUUCUUUGGAGCGUGUCUCGCACAUCACUUUUAUCCACUUUCUUUUCUUUAUUUUGUUCUGAAACACACAUCAAUACAACGUGUUCCAAAUAUGAAUCGCAAGUAUCUUGUGCCAAAUUCGCAACUUUGUCACCUUUAUUCUUCAUAGAGGACUCGUUAUGUCAGCACUCCAAAUAAUAGUGCUCGAAUUUGUUGCAUGUAAAGCACUGCACAUUCCGUUUGUCACAGCUCUUUCUUCCUCGUCCUCUGAACUUUCGUCCUCUUCCUCUACUAUCACCUUCCUUUAUUUCGUUGCCACUCUCAUCUUUUGGCUGUUCAUAUGAGUUAUUCGAUCUACCUCCACUUCGACCACCGCGCGAUCUCCCUCUGCCUCUUCCACUGUUCUUGAAGUUUUGUCCACCUCUAGCCUGUAAAGCUUGAUUCAUGUUCUAUUUAGCACUCUGUUUUGUCCACCUCU